CUAUGACGGGUAUCCGGCCUGAGAGGGUGAUCGGACACACUGGAACUGAGACACGGUCCAGACUCCUACGGGAGGCAGCAGUAGGGAAUAUUGCUCAAUGGGGGAAACCCUGAAGCAGCAACGCCGCGUGGAGGAUGAAGGUUUUCGGAUUGUAAACUCCUUUUGUUAGAGAAGAUAAUGACGGUAUCUAACGAAUAAGCACCGGCUAACUCCGUGCCAGCAGCCGCGGUAAUACGGAGGGUGCAAGCGUUACUCGGAAUCACUGGGCGUAAAGAGCGCGUAGGCGGGAUAGCAAGUCAGAUGUGAAAUCCUAUGGCUUAACCAUAGAACUGCAUUUGAAACUGUUAUUCUAGAGUAUGGGAGAGGUAGGUGGAAU
rnacentral:rRNA from 1 species